rnacentral:rRNA from 1 species
UACAGAGGGGGCAAGCGUUAUUCGGAAUUAUUGGGCGUAAAGGGCGCGUAGGCGGCAUGGCAAGUGGAUGGUGAAAUCCCUCGGCUUAACCGAGGAACUGCCGUCCAAACUGCUUCGCUUGAGACCGGGAGAGGUGAGUGGAAUUCCCAGUGUAGUGGUGAAAUACGUAGAGAUUGGGAAGAACACCAGUGGCGAAGGCGGCUAUCUGGACGGUUUCUGACGCUAAGACGCGAAAGCGUGGGGAGCAAACAGG